GGUGAGAUGUCUGAGUGGUUGAAAGAGCAUGAUUGGAAAUCAUGUAUACAUACUAAAUAUGUAUCAAGGGUUCGAAUCCCUUUCUCACCU
rnacentral:tRNA from 1 species